UAGCCUGACAGCAUUGACAUGUUAAACC
rnacentral:piRNA from 2 species